rnacentral:rRNA from 1 species
UUUAUGGAGAGUUUGAUCCUGGCUCAGGAUGAACGCUGGCGGCGUGCCUAAUACAUGCAAGUCGAGCGAACGGACGAGAAGCUUGCUUCUCUGAUGUUAGCGGCGGACGGGUGAGUAACACGUGGAUAACCUACCUAUAAGACUGGGAUAACUUCGGGAAACCGGAGCUAAUACCGGAUAAUAUUUUGAACCGCAUGGUUCAAAAGUGAAAGACGGUCUUGCUGUCACUUAUAGAUGGAUCCGCGCUGCAUUAGCUAGUUGGUAAGGUAACGGCUUACCAAGGCAACGAUGCAUAGCCGACCUGAGAGGGUGAUCGGCCACACUGGAACUGAGACACGGUCCAGACUCCUACGGGAGGCAGCAGUAGGGAAUCUUCCGCAAUGGGCGAAAGCCUGACGGAGCAACGCCGCGUGAGUGAUGAAGGUCUUCGGAUCGUAAAACUCUGUUAUUAGGGAAGAACAUAUGUGUAAGUAACUGUGCACAUCUUGACGGUACCUAAUCAGAAAGCCACGGCUAACUACGUGCCAGCAGCCGCGGUAAUACGUAGGUGGCAAGCGUUAUCCGGAAUUAUUGGGCGUAAAGCGCGCGUAGGCGGUUUUUUAAGUCUGAUGUGAAAGCCCACGGCUCAACCGUGGAGGGUCAUUGGAAACUGGAAAACUUGAGUGCAGAAGAGGAAAGUGGAAUUCCAUGUGUAGCGGUGAAAUGCGCAGAGAUAUGGAGGAACACCAGUGGCGAAGGCGACUUUCUGGUCUGUAACUGACGCUGAUGUGCGAAAGCGUGGGGAUCAAACAGGAUUAGAUACCCUGGUAGUCCACGCCGUAAACGAUGAGUGCUAAGUGUUAGGGGGUUUCCGCCCCUUAGUGCUGCAGCUAACGCAUUAAGCACUCCGCCUGGGGAGUACGACCGCAAGGUUGAAACUCAAAGGAAUUGACGGGGACCCGCACAAG